rnacentral:lncRNA from 1 species
GUUGAAACCAUCGUCAUCUAGCACCGAAUCACUAUCUCCAUGUGGCGUUCAUGGGGGAAGGCCAGCUAGAUUUAUUAAUUGACUGAUUGUUUGGGUUCGAGUGGUAAAACGUCGUUAGCUGGCUUGCCAUCUAGAACUGACACGUCUUCCAUAUCACAAAGUGCGGACCAUUGUGGUCGAUUGGUCACCCAAACGUUCCUGACAUGUCAAUCGGAUGACGUCAACAUGUCGACUUGCGAAGCCAACGUUGUCGGCCAUGUCAAUUCUACCAUAUCAGCAUCCAUAUGUCAUCUACCAUGAACCUUUGUGCCUGCAUAGAACAGUCAUAUUUAGAUGCUGCAUACAGUAGUGAUUAUAACUUUCUACACUUGAGGUCAACAAAAAGUUGGUCCAUUUCAUUAUCAAAGCCAACAUCAACUUAAUAAAAGAUGCAUUUAAUGAUCCAAUGAGAAUAGUUUGUAGACCACUAGAGCUAUGUCGACUUGGUCAGAAAGGCUUCCACGAAGCUCACUUCUAAUAAAUCCAGCUACAAUCGAUCUGCUUGACUUGAAAAGUCAACUCAGGCCUAUAGCUGCCUGCACUAUGGUUCUUCUUUUGUGCCAUUGUACUAUAGCUGCAGGAGGAUCAACAAAUGGCAGGAGAAGCAGUUCUAGGAGCUUUUAUGCAGGUACUUUUUGACAAGAUAAUCACUACUGUUCUACAUGAGACGAGAUCACUUUGGGGUGCCCAUGGAGAACUACAAAAUAUGACAACCACACUCCCAACAAUCCAAGCCUUGCUUGAGGAUGCAGAGGAGAAGCAAUUAAAAGAUAAAUCAGUCAGAUACUGGUUGGCAAAGCUCAAGGAUGUGGCUUACGAUAUGGAUGAAUUGCUGGAUAAGUACACGGCAGAAGUCUUGCAGAGGAAGACGGAAAGAGAAGCUCAAAGUAUGCAGGUAUGUAGCUGCUUUGCUAAUAUUUGUUGGCAUGGUAUGUUACAGUUUAAGUUGCGACAUAGAAUUAGAGCAAUCCGAGAGAGGUUUGAUAAGAUUGCAAGGGAACGAGAGAGUCUCGGCCUCCAAAUAUUAGAUUGGACAGACCAACUUCAGGUAACAGAGCGACCACAGACUAGCUCGCUAGUAGAUGAUAUUAACGUAGUUGGAAGGGAAACAGAUAAAGAAAAAAUAAUAAAGAUUUUGCUGGCUGAUGCCGGCUCAACUCCCAAUGUUUCUGUUAUCCCUAUUGUUGGCAUGGGGGGGCUAGGAAAAACUACUCUUGCCCAGCUUGUUUACAAUGACCACAGGGUAAAAGAGCACUUUCAGUUGAGAAUAUGGGUGUGUGUUUCUGAGAUUUUUGAUGAGAUGAAGCUGACAAAAGAAACACUAGAGGCGACAACUAGUGGGUAUUCUUGCACCACCAGAAACUUAAACUUGCUCCAUGAAGAAUUAGUUGAAAAGUUCAAAGGAAAACGCUUCUUGCUCGUUCUAGAUGAUGUUUGGAAUGAGGACCCUAAUAAAUGGUAUACAUAUAGCAAUGCUCUCAGAUCUGGGAAUAGAGGGAGCAAAAUCAUAGUGACAACUCAAAAUGAAUCUGUUGGGAGGAUCAUGGGUGGCGUAUCUCCUUACAAAUUGAAACAACUAUCAGACAGUGAAUGCUGGACAUUGUUCAGAAAUUAUGCUUUUGUUAAUGGAAACUCCAGAAUUUACCCAAAUCUUGAGAAGAUAGGCAGGGAUAUAGUCCAGAAGUUGGAGGGGUUACCUCUUGGAGCGAAGACACUUGGGAGCCUCCUGUACUCCAAAACUAAUGAAGAAGACUGGAAGAACAUCCUGAAAAGUGAAAUUUGGGAGUUAACUCCAGGUAAAAACAACAUUUUACCAGCUCUAAGAUUGAGUUACAAGCACUUAACUCCACACUUGAAGCAGUGUUUUGCUUUCUGUUCGGUCUUUCAUAAAGAUUAUAUAUUUGAACGAAGCAUAUUGGUUAAGAUAUGGAUGGCACUCGGAUUCAUUCAGCCACAUGGAAGCAA